rnacentral:rRNA from 1 species
UACGUAGGGUGCAAGCGUUAAUCGGAAUUACUCGGCGUAAAGCGUGCGCAGGCGGCUUUGCAAGACAGAUGUGAAAUCCCCGGGCUUAACCUGGGAACUGCAUUUGUGACUGCAAGGCUAGAGUACGGUAGAGGGGGAUGGAAUUCCGCGUGUAGCAGUGAAAUGCGUAGAUAUGCGGAGGAACACCGAUGGCGAAGGCAAUCCCCUGGACCUGUACUGACGCUCAUGCACGAAAGCGUGGGGAGCAAACAGG